UCUCCCAGAGUAUUCCUCCAACGGUUACAUUUCCCAUCUCUCGCUCCUUCGUUUUCUGCUCCAUUUCCGAUCCAAAACCUUCUCAAUCAAUAUCUCACCCUCUUCUCUCUUUCACUCUCUAGAUUUCGCAAUUAUGAAGCACUUCAUGUACCCAAGAAACGCGAUCUUGAGGGAGAUGAAGAUGGAGUCUCCGACGUCGCCGAACCCUAGGGUAGCCAAGCCUUGGCUAUCGCAGAAGCAGAGGGGCUCCAAGGAGAACGGUCCGCUGUCGGAUCCGAACUCUUUGUGUCCGAUUUCCAUAGCCUCUACCUCUCUCUUUCUUUGCACUCCACAACGGUUUCUUGGGUGUGAUUUCCAUGCUUAGCCCUAGAUAACUGAUACCGAGAGAGAAAUAUGCUAAAAGUGGCAAAGAGCAAAAGCAAGCGCCAAAUCCACACAAGAAAGGAUGCACCAGCUUAGCUUCAACUUUACCUAUUUGGUCGACAUAUUAACUACUGCAUAUUGUUUUGUCACCGCAAUUAAACUUGUGCAAGCAUGAUUUGGAUCUGUAAGAUUUGGAUUAGGUACUACAAAACAUUUUGCCAUCAAAGAUAAACUUGGGCAAGGAGAUUUUCAUUCUGUCUAUGAGAUGCAUAUGAGGCAUUUGAUUCCAAAACUGCUCAGACAAUUACACAACCAUAUUUAUACCAUGGUUCUUGAAGGGCCCUCAGAGGUGCAUGGGCAUUUAGAAAGAGAAAGAGGAAAUCAUAAUCUCCUAUCGAUAGUGGAGGCAGGCAAAAUGAGGGUGGAGCAUUAAUUCUCUAUUUUUUCUCCUAUUUCAAUUCCUAUUGGUCAUAUCGUGCAAAAAUAUUACUAGAGCAGAUUCGAGCAUUAUGGAAGGUCAAAAAUGAGAAUUUUUCAAAUUUGUAUAAAGAGAUUUUACCAAGUUUCCUUAUGCUAUGAGAAAUGCUUUCCCUGCUAUUGGCGAUAAUGAGAUGAAGUUUAUGUGCUCCAAUGUGUCGAUGUGCAUUCUCACCUUGUAUUUAUUUCCUUUGUUCUCCUCCCUUUUUUUUUUCUCUCAAUGCACUGGUAUGCAUUGUUUGUUUUUUUUUUUUUUUUUUUCUCUACUUGAAACUGGAAGUUUAACACUUACAUUUUCUUCUUCUAUUGUAGAAAAUUUCCCAAUUCUUGAAGCCACAACGAAAGCAAAGAUAAAAGAAAAAACAAAAGAAACAAAAAGGACAAAAAGUUAGAAACGAAAAAAGGCUGCAAAAGAGGAAAAGAUAUAGUGAAAGGGAAAUAAUCAUUUGGCUUUUGUGGCACAUUCGAUAUUGACCGGUAGACAGUGGAAUAAAAAGGGCUAUUGAAAAGGGGGUUGCUAAACUCAGAUGAAUAUGUCUAUCUUUAUUCUUUUGCACAAUAGUUACUGAAAAAUAGAAUAAAGAAUGGGGUAUAUGGUUUAGGACAGGUUGAGAAAUGGAUCCAAAAAGUGGAACGUGAAAUGUAACAACAAGAAGGUUUGAAUCUUAAUAGAAAAUCUGAUUGCAGCAAAUGUUAAAAGGAAGGCAGAGACAGAGGGAGAAGCUGCCCGUCCAGCAUUGUACAAGAUUUUGAUAAGCUUCCUUUAUGUUGUGACAAAUGCAUGUUCUGUAGUUGGUGGUAAUGAGAUAAAAUUUAUGAUGACUGUUGGUAGUGGAAAAAGUCACCUAAACAAGGUAGUAGUGUGAAUGAGGCCACCGCGCAAAGACAAGGAUGAAGAAGAAAUGAUAGUUUAGAAAAUUUCCUUUCACAUUCGAUUCAAUUAUAGACACAGAAGCAACACAACUUGAUAUUAUCCAGUUUGUGGGAGCACCUUUUGUUGAAAAUUGUAUGGCAGGUUUCAACAGUUCCGUUUUGUUGAAAGUUGUAUGACUUUUCUCUUUCUUCUCUCCUUAUCUUAUGAUUUCUUUUCUAAUUUGGGGUUUUCUUUAUUUUGGUUGAAAAAAUGAAAAGCCUCUUCUUGCCUU